UUUGGUUAAGUUAGAAAGGGCGCACGGUGGAUGCCUUGACACUAGGAGUCGAUGAAGGACGGGACUAACGCCGAUAUGCUUCGGGGAGCUGUAAGUAAGCUUUGAUCCGAAGAUUUCCGAAUGGGGAAACCCACCAUACGUAAUGGUAUGGUAUCCUUAUCUGAAUACAUAGGGUAAGGAAGACAGACCCAGGGAACUGAAACAUCUAAGUACCUGGAGGAAGAGAAAGCAAAUGCGAUUUCCUGAGUAGCGGCGAGCGAAACGGAACAUAGCCCAAACCAAGAGGCUUGCCUCUUGGGGUUGUAGGACAUUCUAUACGGAGUUACAAAGGAACGAGGUAGACGAAGCGACCUGGAAAGGUCCGUCGUAGAGGGUAACAACCCCGUAGUCGAAACUUCGUUCUCUCUUGAAUGUAUCCUGAGUACGGCGGAACACGUGAAAUUCCGUCGGAAUCUGGGAGGACCAUCUCCCAAGGCUAAAUACUCCCUAGUGAUCGAUAGUGAACCAGUACCGUGAGGGAAAGGUGAAAAGCACCCCGGAAGGGGAGUGAAAGAGAUCCUGAAACCGUGUGCCUACAAAUAGUCAGAGCCCGUUAACGGGUGAUGGCGUGCCUUUUGUAGAAUGAACCGGCGAGUUACGAUCCCGUGCGAGGUUAAGCUGAAGAGGCGGAGCCGCAGCGAAAGCGAGUCUGAAUAGGGCGUUUAGUACGUGGUCGUAGACCCGAAACCAGGUGAUCUACCCAUGUCCAGGGUGAAGUUCAGGUAACACUGAAUGGAGGCCCGAACCCACGCACGUUGAAAAGUGCGGGGAUGAGGUGUGGGUAGCGGAGAAAUUCCAAUCGAACCUGGAGAUAGCUGGUUCUCCCCGAAAUAGCUUUAGGGCUAGCCUUAAGUGUAAGAGUCUUGGAGGUAGAGCACUGAUUGGACUAGGGGUCCUCAUCGGAUUACCGAAUUCAGUCAAACUCCGAAUGCCAAUGACUUAUCCUUAGGAGUCAGACUGCGAGUGAUAAGAUCCGUAGUCAAAAGGGAAACAGCCCAGACCGCCAGCUAAGGUCCCAAAGUGUGUAUUAAGUGGAAAAGGAUGUGGAGUUGCUUAGACAACUAGGAUGUUGGCUUAGAAGCAGCCACCAUUUAAAGAGUGCGUAAUAGCUCACUAGUCGAGUGACUCUGCGCCGAAAAUGUACCGGGGCUAAAUACACCACCGAAGCUGCGGAUUGAUACCGAAUGGUAUCAAUGGUAGGGGAGCGUUCUAAGGACAGUGAAGUCAGACCGUAAGGACUGGUGGAGUGCUUAGAAGUGAGAAUGCCGGUAUGAGUAGCGAAAGACGGGUGAGAAUCCCGUCCACCGAAUGCCUAAGGUUUCCUGAGGAAGGCUCGUCCGCUCAGGGUUAGUCAGGACCUAAGCCGAGGCCGACAGGCGUAGGCGAUGGACAACAGGUUGAUAUUCCUGUACCACCUCUUUAUCGUUUGAGCAAUGGAGGGACGCAGAAGGAUAGAAGAAGCGUGCGAUUGGUUGUGCACGUCCAAGCAGUUAGGCUGAUAAGUAGGCAAAUCCGCUUAUCGCAUAGGCUGAGCUGUGAUGGGGAAGCUCCUUAUGGAGCGAAGUCUUUGAUUCCCCGCUGCCAAGAAAAGCUUCUAGCGAGAUAAAAGGUGCCUGUACCGCAAACCGACACAGGUAGGCGAGGAGAGAAUCCUAAGGUGUGCGAGAGAACUCUGGUUAAGGAACUCGGCAAAAUGACCCCGUAACUUCGGGAGAAGGGGUGCUUUCUUAACGGAAAGCCGCAGUGAAUAGGCCCAAGCGACUGUUUAGCAAAAACACAGCUCUCUGCGAAGCCGUAAGGCGAAGUAUAGGGGGUGACACCUGCCCGGUGCUGGAAGGUUAAGGAGAGGGGUUAGCGUAAGCGAAGCUCUGAACUGAAGCCCCAGUAAACGGCGGCCGUAACUAUAACGGUCCUAAGGUAGCGAAAUUCCUUGUCGGGUAAGUUCCGACCCGCACGAAAGGUGUAACGAUUUGGGCACUGUCUCAACCAGAGACUCGGUGAAAUUAUAGUACCUGUGAAGAUGCAGGUUACCCGCGACAGGACGGAAAGACCCCGUGGAGCUUUACUGUAGCCUGAUAUUGAAUUUUGGUACAGUUUGUACAGGAUAGGCGGGAGCCAUUGAAACCGGAGCGCUAGCUUCGGUGGAGGCGCUGGUGGGAUACCGCCCUGACUGUAUUGAAAUUCUAACCUACGGGUCUUAUCGACCCGGGAGACAGUGUCAGGUGGGCAGUUUGACUGGGGCGGUCGCCUCCUAAAGUGUAACGGAGGCGCCCAAAGGUUCCCUCAGAAUGGUUGGAAAUCAUUCGUAGAGUGCAAAGGCAUAAGGGAGCUUGACUGCGAGACCUACAAGUCGAGCAGGGACGAAAGUCGGGCUUAGUGAUCCGGUGGUUCCGCAUGGAAGGGCCAUCGCUCAACGGAUAAAAGCUACCCCGGGGAUAACAGGCUUAUCUCCCCCAAGAGUCCACAUCGACGGGGAGGUUUGGCACCUCGAUGUCGGCUCAUCGCAUCCUGGGGCUGUAGUCGGUCCCAAGGGUUGGGCUGUUCGCCCAUUAAAGCGGUACGCGAGCUGGGUUCAGAACGUCGUGAGACAGUUCGGUCCCUAUCCGUCGUGGGCGUAGGAAAUUUGAGAGGAGCUGUCCUUAGUACGAGAGGACCGGGAUGGACGCACCGCUGGUGUACCAGUUGUUCUGCCAAGGGCAUAGCUGGGUAGCUAUGUGCGGAAGGGAUAAGUGCUGAAAGCAUCUAAGCAUGAAGCCCCCCUCAAGAUGAGAUUUCCCAUAGCGUAAGCUAGUAAGAUCCCUGAAAGAUGAUCAGGUUGAUAGGUUCGAGGUGGAAGCAUGGUGACAUGUGGAGCUGACGAAUACUAAUAGAUCGAGGACUUAACCAUAUAA
rnacentral:rRNA from 1 species